rnacentral:rRNA from 1 species
UACAGAGGUCUCAAGCGUUUGUUCGGAUUCAUUGGGCGUAAAGGGUGCGUAGGUGGCGCUGUAAGUCGGGUGUGAAAUUUCGGAGCUUAACUCCGAAACUGCAUUCGAUACUGCGGUGCUUGAGGACUGGAGAGGAGACUGGAAUUCAUGGUGUAGCAGUGAAAUGCGUAGAGAUCAUGAGGAAGACCAGUGGCGAAGGCGGGGUCUCUGGACAGUUUCUGACGCUGAGGCACGAAGGUCAGGGGAGCAAACGGG